CAAGGGUGAAGUCACUUGCAAGAGAUUGCCAUUUCUCCACUCCCUGCCACACAUCGAGCUUCAGCUUAUCUCUUUCUUCCAAAAACCGCAGCCCAUGUCCCCAAACUCCCAAAGUGCCGCCGCCUAUCGCCUCGGAAAUGGCCUCCGAAGUCUGGCUGCUGCCUUCACUCUCCCCUCGAUUCGUCGCUCGCCCUCUUCUUCCCACUCUCCCCUCACAAAACCUCCACUCCUCUCUCCGGCAGUCUUCUACUUGCCUUCGCUUUCGCUCUCAGCACGGGCAAAGCCGCAAGCUUUUCCUUCUGCGCCCUAGAGCCGCUGAACAGCAAGGUAAGGUCCAGGAAGAUGAAGUGGUUGAUAGCAAAAUUCUGCCGUAUUGCAGCAUAAGCAAGAAAGCGGAGAAGAAGUCAAUAGGGGAGAUGGAGCAAGAGUUUCUGCAAGCACUACAGUCGUUCUAUUAUGAUAAUGAAGCCAUUAUGUCAAAUGAGGAAUUUGAUAAUCUCAAGGAAGAACUGAUGUGGGAGGGAAGCAGCGUAGUCAUGUUGUCCUCGGAUGAACAAAGGUUUCUGGAAGCAUCGAUGGCUUAUGUGUCUGGAAAUCCAAUACUGUCAGAUAAAGAAUUUGAUGCGUUGAAGCUCAGGCUUAAGCAACAAGGCAGCCGCAUUGUACAAGAAGGACCACGUUGUAGUCUCCGAAGCAGAAAGGUCUACAGUGACUUAACUGUUGAUUACUUUAAGAUGUUCCUGCUGAAUGUGCCUGCAGCUGUUAUUGCUCUAACCUUGUUUUUCUUUCUUGAUGAUUUGACUGGCUUUGAGAUUACGUAUCUUUUGGAACUUCCAGAACCAUUCAGUUUCAUUUUCACUUGGUUUGCUGCUUUGCCUCUUAUAUUUUGGUUGGCUCAAGCAAUUACUAAUUUCAUUGUGAAAGACUUUUUGAUCUUAAAGGGCCCCUGCCCAAAUUGUGGAGUUGAAAACGUCUCUUUCUUUGGGACUAUACUUUCAAUCCCUAGUGGCGGUGUUGAAAAUACUGUGAAAUGCUCAAACUGUGGCACUGCAAUGUUGUAUGACUCCAGAUUACGAUUGAUUACUCUUCCAGAGCCAAGUAAAGCAUGAGUGGAUGUCUGCUUGCGAACUCAAGUAUUUCCUAUCAAAAUAUUGGUAAUAUAUUUCUUGAUAUUAUUACGACUACCUCUCAUCCCAUGACCACCCCAGCACCUCACGAGAUUGUGGAUCAUCGGCCUAAGUGCACUGGCAGUUCAAACAAAUGAAGGCUGCAUACCUUCGCUAGCCUCAAGCUAAUUGAAAUAUGCACUGUACAUCAAUCUAUAUCCACUUGAUUGCAUAUACAGUACUAGUUGAAGCAGCUUGUGCGGACAUUACAGAGAUCGAUUGAUUGUCAAACUUAUGUUCUCCCGAAGCUCCUUCACCUUAUGGCCUUGCAUGUUUAUGCACAUGUAAUUAGCUUUUAUAUUAGUUGCUCAAGUAUAAUUGAAACCAUUCAGAUAUAUUAUCUGCUUUUGCAUGUAAUUGUUCAUUAAGUUUUGUUCCUUGUAUAUGAUUUUCUGCUUUGGCU